AGGAUGCGCCAGUUUUAUAUUUAUAAACAACAAGUUGAUCUUCUGCUGACAUGUUUGUACUGAAUCAACUUGUUGUUUAUAAAUAUAAAACUGGCGCAUCCUAAAAGGAAA
rnacentral:miRNA from 1 species